rnacentral:rRNA from 1 species
GUGGGGAAUAUUGGACAAUGGGGGGAACUCUGACCCAGCCAUGCCGCGUGCAGGAUGACGGCCCUCUGGGUUGUAAACUGCUUUUAUACGGGAAGAAAAAAUACUACGUGUAGUAUACUGACGGUACCGUAAGAAUAAGGAUCGGCUAACUCCGUGCCAGCAGCCGCGGUAAUACGGAGGAUCCAAGCGUUGUCCGGAUUUAUUGGGUUUAAAGGGUGCGUAGGCGGAUCUUUAAGUCAGUGGUGAAAGCCUGCAGCUUAACUGUAGAAUUGCCAUUGAAACUGAAGAUCUUGAAUGUGGUUAAAGUAGGCGGAAUGUAUCAUGUAGCGGUGAAAUGCUUAGAUAUGAUACAGAACACCGAUAGCGAAGGCAGCUUGCUGAACCAUUAUUGACGCUGAGGCACGAAAGCGUGGGGAGCGAACAGGAUUAGAUACCCGAGUAGUCC